AAGUGCUCUCUGGAAGUAAUUCUUAAGGGAGAGGAGUAUUUACUGGGACCUCAUUUGUGUUAUAUACGAUGGUGGAAGCUGUGCAUGGUGACAUGGUGGCUGUGAUGAUGUGUGGAAACAACAUACGUAUCAAUUGAUUCAUGUAUAAUGACAGUUAUAAUCUUGUUAAAUCUAGAAUUCCGCUGUCGCCUAAGAAGUUGGCCAAGGCAGAAUACGGAAUCAAAGCAAAAAGGGAGACUCCGUUUAUGUACGAAAUCUUGCCAUGAGCAUUUUUUCUCCAGAAGUAUUGAUCAAGCCUCCCAGGGUUGGGUCGAUAAUUUCAAGAGAAAGUACAAAAUUCGGCAAAGAAAGGUAACGCGGUACCUCAAAUCUAAAAACGAACUCGAUGAUGAGGAAAUUGUUGUGCGCGCUGUCUCUUACAUGCUCGAGGCAAAAGACUUGGCAAGGCAAUACAAUCCGUAAUUCGUGCUCAACAGUGAUCAGACGGGGUGCGAAUAUCGUUUUAAAGUUGAUCGGACCCUCUCAAACCAGGGGGAAAAAAGUACAGAGAUGUUUUUGGGCAACUUAACAAGGUGACCCACUCUUACACGGCCCAGUACUGCAUGACGGCAUCAGGAAAACUUUUGCCAAAGGUAUUUUAGUGUAUGCAGGAGAGAGACUAUAAGUUCGGGCCUCUCGUUCAAAAGAAAAUCGACGAUCUCGCGAAAAGGCUACGCAAUGUCUACGUUACAUCUUCAAAAUCGGGCAAUGUUCAUCGGUGACUGGACUUGGAUGUACUAUUGUACUGCCAAAGAGGACUCCAUCCCACGUUCCCCAUUGCCACUGAUUGGGAUGCAAUAUCUUUCAAGUACAUAACUAUUCCUCUAACUUUUCCCCUCAUUUUGGAAACAAAGAGCUUUUUAAUCACAAAGAAAAACAAAGCUAAAAUAUGAAAGGAGGGGGACGUUGCAAUAUUCGGACUUUUGCAUUUUAAUUUAGGAAGAGUUAAUGUAUUUUGCUUUCUAUUCUCCUUUAAACCCUUCCUGCCUUUGGGUCUCAAUAAUGGGGGAAAAAUCUAUGAAUAAACUUUGAGUUUAUGGUAUUCUUAUUGUAACCAUUAAUACUCUGAAAAAUGCUAGGGUUAUGCGUUAUUUUCUUAAUAAUUUUCCUCCAAUGAAUAAACUGAAGUAAUGGGACUUCUAGAAAUGUUUCUAGCAGUUGAUAGGUUUCUCAAUCAUUAUUCCUUGGACUGAAAAACUUUGACAGGAGCAGGCCGCCGACAUAAGGGGGGGGGGGGUUGCCGGGACUCCAGCCCCGGGGCCCGGUAGGGCUGCCCAGAAGCACAAAAGUUUCCAUUUGUAUUACCAAUCUGCCGGCAAAAGUCAAAUAAUUUUGUAGCUUGAGAUUUUGCUCGAAGCCCAGACAGCCUUGCGUUGGCCCCUGGGAUAGGCAAUCCUUUGCCAAAACUUUGUCUCCAUCUAAUUUCAGAUGUAUAUUUUUUGUGCAAUAAGCUGAAUUUUUAAUAUGUUUUUAUCCCUUCUAUUUUCCUUUUCUUUCAUCAAAGGUAAAAUUUUACACAAGUCAGAACUGAUUCAAUAGUUAUAGUUCACUUUAGGUAUUAAAGACCUUUUAAGUUUAAAAUGAUUUUUUUUCUAUAUAUAUACGUCCAAUGUUGUUUUUUUCAUAGCGGCUCAUUACAAAUUUUCAAACAACUGCAAUUAUUCUGAGAUUUUGAAAGGGCAAAAAUCUUGCAUAAACUGAUCUGAAUAAGUGCGGAAACAGCAUGAAAUUACUCAGAUUGGAGGCAAAAUUUUAAAAAAAUUUCGGGGGUGGCCCUCCCAAACCCCCCUCCUGCUGGGGGCGGUCCCCCAGACCCCCUUAAAUAGUUUACUAAAGGGGGCCUCGCUGACUGAUCCCGCCCCGGGGCCCACCAAUGGAUGUAGGGGGCCUGGACAGGAGGAUGUUCAUCCUAUUAAAGACAAAAUUAAACCUAAAAUCUCUUAUUCCAUUUUGCUUAAAACAAGAGGCGAAUUGUUUGGACCCUGUACCUUCGACCUGAGACAAGUAACUAAUUUUUUGUUUACAAAUGAUUUGUUUCAAAAUGUUUUGAUGAGCGGGCCAAGAAAGAAUUCCCGGCCCCUGACAAAGACGCCCUUGGAAUGAGGAAGAAACAGAUAAACACGAUCCUCGCGCAUAAAAUCAAAGAGGAGAGAAAGAAAUACUUUGACUAAGUUUAAAUUGUAUUACAGUAAAGUUUGUAUAGAUUUGUUCAUUAUUUUGUGU
rnacentral:lncRNA from 1 species